rnacentral:rRNA from 1 species
AAAGAAACCAACAGGGAUUGCCCUAGUAACGGCGAGUGAAGCGGCAACAGCUCAAAUUUGAAAUCUGGCCCUCGGGUCCGAGUUGUAAUUUGUAGAGGAUGCUUUUGGUGAGGUGCCUUCCGAGUUCCCUGGAACGGGACGCCAUAGAGGGUGAGAGCCCCGUCUGGUUGGACACCGAACCUCUGUAAAGCUCCUUCGACGAGUCGAGUAGUUUGGGAAUGCUGCUCUAAAUGGGAGGUAUAUGUCUUCUAAAGCUAAAUACCGGCCAGAGACCGAUAGCGCACAAGUAGAGUGAUCGAAAGAUGAAAAGCACUUUGAAAAGAGAGUUAAAAAGUACGUGAAAUUGUUGAAAGGGAAGCGCUUAUGACCAGACUUGGGCUUGGUUGAUCAUCCUGGGUUCUCCCUGGUGCACUCUUCCAGUUCAGGCCAGCAUCAGUUCGCUGCGGGGGAUAAAAGCUUUAGGAAUGUGGCUCCUUCGGGAGUGUUAUAGCCUAUUGCAUAAUACCCUGCUCCGGACUGAGGUUCGCGCAUCUGCAAGGAUGCUGGCGUAAUGGUCAUCAGCGACCCGUCUUGAAACACGGACCAAGGAGUCGUCUUCGUAUGCGAGUGUUCGGGUGUUAAACCCCUACGCGUAAUGAAAGUGAACGCAGGUGAGAGCUUCGGCGCAUCAUCGACCGAUCCUGAUGUUCUCGGAUGGAUUUGAGUAAGAGCAUACGGGGCCGGACCCGAAAGAAGGUGAACUAUGCCUGUAUAGGGUGAAGCCAGAGGAAACUCUGGUGGAGGCUCGCAGCGGUUCUGACGUGCAAAUCGAUCGUCAAAUAUGGGCAUGGGGCGAAAGACUAAUCGAACCUUCUAGUAGCUGGUUUCCGCCGAAGUUUCCCUCAGGA